ensembl:lncRNA
GGAGGUGGAAGUAAGAAUGAUAGAUAUACAGUUGGAUAUCAGAGAUACUAGUUGGUAUUAAUGACCCUGAACAGCCUCACCUGGGACUCUUAACCACUCCACCCAUGAUUCUGGGAGUUCUAUAGCAUCUCUGGCUGGAACAUCUGCCUUAGUCUAACCUGUAAUGAAUGAGAGCUGCUCUGAAAAAAGCUUAAUCAGAGCUUCAUCAAUGAAAAAGGACUGGGAUAAUCUCUAAAGGAUAAUAUAGAGAAAAGAAAGCAUGGACUGUAACACAGCAAGGUAGACUUGGUCUGAGUUCUGACAUCUUGACAAAGAAAGCAGAAUGACUCUAAGUAUGUUCAAGUAUAUUUUAGUGCCUUUGUGAGUGCGUCUUGCAGCUGAGAUACAUUGUUUCUAGUCAAACAUGAGGAUUAGUCUCUAGAUUUUCUAUAGACCUCCUUUUCAUGCAUGCUUUCACCAAGUCUGUUUCCAAGACUUUUUUUUUUAACUGAGAGGUUUGGUGCCUUGAGGAACUGUCAUAAGAUGGAUAUAGUUGUUUUUCAUGUAUUACUAAUCUUGCUACAUUAGAAAUACCCAAAUAUAAUUUUUAAACAUUUUGAACCAAAAAAUAGGCAAAGCUCAGUGUAAAACUUUCAGAUGUCAACUUUGCACCAAAUUUUUUGCCUCUUGUGGAUGUACUCUGGAUCUUGAUGUGAUUGCUUAUGUUUUAUAGGAGUAUAUGUUGAUUACAUACUACCUUUUGUAAUGAAUUUUCUUCUAAGAUCUUAAAAAAAAAAAAUUACAUUAGAAUUGGGUUGUACAAAUCUUGCUCUUUUCCAUAACACUGCAAAAACAAUUUGAUUGUAUAAAUGUUGUAGUUUACUAUUUUCUAGUUUCUAUUAGAUGUCUUGUAUCUUGAGGUUGUCCUUUAAUGUCUGCUUCUUCUUCCCCUGUACCCAGCCAACCUUCAUAUGUACUUCUUACAGCUACUUUUCAGUCCUCAUGUUAAUUCAUAUUUACAUGUUGAAGUUGGCUAACCUUUUCCAUUUGCUAACUUGCUAACCAUCCAGCAGCUCUCAUUGGAUUCUGAGUAAUCAAGUCUUCAAAAAGAUCAGUUUACAUCUCUUACAUCCUGUGAAUAUAGAUUUAAGAAGUUGAAUUCUGAAAACCUUCACAAACACAUACAUUGAAGGUUUUGAGACAGAAAAAGGUUUUCCAAAAGCAUCUGUUUUCUGGGUUGUUUUCAAGAGGUCCUCUCCUGACCCAACACUCUGUUCAUGUAUGCUUCAGUUACUGCAAAUACUGUGUAAAGUUUUACUGCAAACUCUUCUGCUGUGUAUAAUACCUGAAGUAAGAAGCAGGAUUUUGCUGUUAAAUUCAUAAAACUUUUAUGUAAGAGGAAAAAGUAGACUGCCAGUAUAAAGAAAUGGUGUUAGGGGUGAGCAUUGUGUGCUUGUAAGCUAUGCAAGAUGCAUGUGGUCUGUUGCAAUGAGUUCACAGAGCCCUGAGCUAGUGCUGCUCCUGCCAGAACAUCUGUUCUGGCUGGGAGCAUCUAUAAGAAAUGCAACUACCCUGUUCGUCACAAGGUCAAACAUGCUUUCUUAAACCAAAAUGAUUUUUGACAAGAUGGAACACAAUUUGACCAGUUGUUGUACACUGAAAUUUUAAAUUAUGCACAUACUGUGUAUGACAGAUUUAUUUGAAG